rnacentral:lncRNA from 1 species
GAGGCUCAGCUGCAGCUGUUAUCGUGUAUGAUAUUACCAAGCAGGAUUCAUUUUAUACCUUGAAGAAAUGGGUCAAGGAGCUGAAAGAACAUGGUCCAGAAAACAUUGUAAUGGCCAUCGCUGGAAACAAGUGCGACCUCUCAGAUAUUAGGUAAGAUGCAUUGAAAUCUCUUUUGUGUAGAUACUGUCCUCCAUCCCUGAGUGUCAUCCGUGUAGAUACUGUCCUCCAUCCCUGAGUGUCAUCCGUGUAGAUGCUGUCCUCCAUCCCUGAGUGUCAUCCGUGUAGAUGCUGUCCUCCAUCCCUGAGUGUCAUGCGUGUAGAUGCUGUCCUCCAUCCCUGAGUGUCAUCCGUGUAGAUGCUGUCCUC